rnacentral:rRNA from 1 species
GACGAACGCUGGCGGCGUGCUUAACACAUGCAAGUCGAACGGAAAGGCCCUGCUUUUGUGGGGUGCUCGAGUGGCGAACGGGUGAGUAACACGUGAGUAACCUGCCCUUGACUUUGGGAUAACUUCAGGAAACUGGGGCUAAUACCGGAUAGGAGCUCCUGCUGCAUGGUGGGGGUUGGAAAGUUUCGGCGGUUGGGGGUGGACUCGCGGCUUAUCAGCUUGUUGGUGGGGUAGUGGCUUACCAAGGCUUUGACGGGUAGCCGGCCUGCGAGGGUGACCGGCCACAUUGGGACUGAGAUACGGCCCAGACUCCUACGGGAGGCAGCAGUGGGGAAUAUUGCACAAUGGGCGGAAGCCUGAUGCAGAAACGCCGCGUGCGGGAUGACGGCCUUCGGGUUGUAAACCGCUUUCGCCUGUGACGAAGCGUGAGUGACGGUAAUGGGUAAAGAAGCACCGGCUAACUACGUG